UGGACACAGCAGGAGGAAAACUGAAGGCUGAGGCAGGCCUAUAGGGAGACAGGCUGAGGUGUUUGUUGCUCAGCUGGAACACAGAGUGGAGACACUGUUAGCUGCACCAUCCAGUACAUGUAAAAUACAACACACCAGCUGAGCUGGAACAACAAGAACACCUGAACUGAAGUCCAGAAGAUGGAAGAGGACAGAGCAGAGUCUGCAGGAUCCAGCUGUCUGUCUAUGAAGAGUGACCAGUCUAAAGAGUCUCCUCUGAGCUUCAGUCCUGAACCUGGAACCUCACACACAAAGAAACUCAACAAACGUAACCUAUUGGCCUCAGGUGAAGAUACCAACGAUGGUCGUUCAGUCU